GUACUCGCUCCUGCGGUACAUAUCGUAAAACUGGAGCGACACACAGAUUAGCAUGGCCCUUGCGAAAGAAUGACACAGAAAAUAGUUAAGCGAUAGUUAAUUUG